rnacentral:rRNA from 1 species
AUUGAACGCUGGCGGCAGGCUUAACACAUGCAAGUCGAGCGGAGCGAGGGUGCUUGCACCUUAGCUUAGCGGCGGACGGGUGAGUAAUGCUUAGGAAUCUGCCUAUUAGUGGGGGACAACAUUCCGAAAGGAAUGCUAAUACCGCAUACGCCCUACGGGGGAAAGCAGGGGAUCUUAGGACCUCGCGCUAAUAGAUGAGCCUAAGUCGGAUUAGCUAGUUGGUGGGGUAAAGGCCUACCAAGGCGACGAUCUGUAGCGGGUCUGAGAGGAUGAUCCGCCACACUGGGACUGAGACACGGCCCAGACUCCUACGGGAGGCAGCAGUGGGGAAUAUUGGACAAUGGGCGGAAGCCUGAUCCAGCCAUGCCGCGUGUGUGAAGAAGGCCUUUUGGUUGUAAAGCACUUUAAGCGAGGAGGAGGCUACUUAGAUUAAUACUCUGGGAUAGUGGACGUUACUCGCAGAAUAAGCACCGGCUAACUCUGUGCCAGCAGCCGCCGUAAAAC